rnacentral:rRNA from 1 species
GUGGGGAAUAUUGGACAAUGGGGGGAACCCUGAUCCAGCCAUGCCGCGUGUGUGAAGAAGGCCUUUUGGUUGUAAAGCACUUUAAGUGGGGAGGAGGCUUACCUGGUUAAUACCUGGGCUAAGUGGACGUUACCCACAGAAUAAGCACCGGCUAACUCUGUGCCAGCAGCCGCGGUAAUACAGAGGGUGCGAGCGUUAAUCGGAUUUACUGGGCGUAAAGCGCGCGUAGGUGGUUAAUUAAGUCAAAUGUGAAAUCCCCGAGCUUAACUUGGGAAUUGCAUUCGAUACUGGUUGGCUAGAGUAUGGGAGAGGAUGGUAGAAUUCCAGGUGUAGCGGUGAAAUGCGUAGAGAUCUGGAGGAAUACCGAUGGCGAAGGCAGCCAUCUGGCCUAAUACUGACACUGAGGUGCGAAAGCAUGGGGAGCAAACAGGAUUAGAAACCCCGGUAGUCC